UACAGAGGUCUCGAGCGUUAGGCGGAAUCACUGGGCUUAAAGCGUGUGUAGGUGGAUGCCUAAGUACCUUGUGAAAUCCCACGGCUUAACCGUGGACCUGCUUGGUAUACUGGGUGUCUUGAGUCACUCAGGGGCGAGCGGAACAAAUGGUGGAGCGGUGAAAUGCGUAGAUAUCAUUUGGAACGCCAAUGGUGAAAACAGCUCGCUGGGGGUGCACUGACACUGAGACACGAAAGCCAGGGGAGCGAACGGG
rnacentral:rRNA from 1 species